UUUAAUUUGAAGUUAUCUAGUUUUAUUCAUUUUCUUACAUUAAUUUAUACUGUGUGUCUCUUAUUCGACUAUAUAACUAUGUAUUUUUUUACACAGUUGUAGAUCUAUGUUUAUAGUAUUUUUUAAAACAUUCUUGACAUAAAUAUGCAAAAUACAUUCUACAUUUAUUUAGUUACAAUAAGUUCAAAUCUCUUUUGUAUAAAAAACAAUUUUCAUUUUUCUUUUUAUAUUUAUUUUUUUGUUUCUAUAUUUUAUUCUAUUUUUCCUAACAAAUAUAUUUGAUUUUUUAUUAUCUACUCCUUCCGUUCCUAAAAAAUGUAUGUUUUGGAAAAAAAAUUUGUUUUAAAAAAAUACAUUUUUU
rnacentral:lncRNA from 1 species